AUGGGCCUCCUUUGCCAAGGAUUAGUUUCUCUUUUUUGUUUUUUUUAGAAAUUCUGAAUGUGUUGAAAAGGCUUUAGAGGGAUUUAAAAUAUAGGAAAUAACAAGGUCUGACUUAAAUUUACAAAAGAUCUCUCUAGCAGCUGAUGGGCGACAGUCUAUAGGGAGCAAGAGCAGAAGAUCUAUUCUCCUCAGGGCAGACAAUAGGCACCUUUCAAGGACGAGGCAAGUAAGGCCCAGAGAGCUGACAAGAUCUGUCCUAGCUCACUCCAUUUUGUACUUUUGGUUCCCAGACCAGUGGCCCUUUGUGGCUACACAUUCUCUAACUGAGGCACAACUGACCAGGCUCCAGGUGAAGCUUCUCGGCCUGGUAUGCAGAGAAGACGAAGCCCUUGGGGCAGCCCAGCACCCACCCUUGACAAUACUCCUGCUUCAUUACAGGUCCUGUUGUGCCCAACUCAUGAUUUAUCCAGGUCACACCAGUCUGGUCUGUCACAGUAAGAGGGCACCAUCACAUACACUAUAAUAUGAAUCAUGACCCCCGGAGUUGUGUGGAGUUUCUGCAUCUCUCCCUCCCCACUGUGGCUACCCUCAUCCAGCAACCAUCCUGUCUCUCACCGGUAUUACCGCAGCUGAGACCCAGGUCUUAAGGAAGCUGAGACCCAGGCCAGCAGGGGCCUCACAGCUUGGAAAAAGAGGAGGGUGUAAGACUCUGGAUGAAGCUGAGAGAUCCUUCCAUGCUUGGCUGAGAGACUACACAGACAUGAGCUUCAGGAGACUCCAAAGCCUCGGAUCCCCUUCUAAACUAGCACUGAAUUCUGAUUGGCUGUCUUUGCCUGCCUCAGUUUGUUCCUUUUACUGAUUGGCUAGGUUCUUCUGCCCAUGGCAGAGCCCUGCUCCAGCCACCGGAUCCUCCCACCUGCCACAGUGUCACCUGGGAUUGGCUGGGCUCUGAAAGGCCAGGCUGGCUUGACUCUUGCCAUCAUCAGAUUCUUCCUCAUUAAACAAAUGAAUCACAAUCCUAAUUAAUUUGAGCAACAGAAUUUAUGUAACUACUCCCAGCAGGAUGUCUGCUCUCAGUCAGCAGAGAGAUUACUUCCUCUCUCUGGGAAAUUCCAGCCUUGCUGGUCAAUAAGCCUUAAUGAUGACUGAAAUCUCCCAUCUGUCUCUGCUCAGGGCAGGUAACCCCUACUAAGCAGACACCCAGUUGGCUCGAGGCAGUACCCCGGGCACCGGCAGGACAAGGACAACGAUCUCCCAGCCUAGAUGUGUCCUGAGCCACAUGGAGCACACAGAUUACAGGAUCUGACUCCCAUUUGGGCCUUCCACCUCCGCUGGCCUAAGCAGUCAAGUGUCAGAGAGCACUGGACCUAACAGCUCCCUCACCAGAGCAGCUGUGAUUCCUUCUUCAUUUCCAGCAGGGAAGACCCAACAACUUUUAUAAUAUGGGAUUUCUUUUAUUCUCAUGAUAAUAAUGUUCAUUGUGGAAAAUAAAAAAAAAUGAUAAAAUAAAAAUCAGCCAGAAUUCCAACUUCUGGAGAUUUUGGUGUCUUUCUGCAAAGUUCCUAUGCACAUAGAUACUUUAUAAAAUUAUGAACAUACUGUACAUACAGUUUUGGAAUAUGCCUUUUUCCUUCUGUCAUGAAAAAGUCUUCAAAUGCCUUUUAACAGCUACACAAUAGUUCACUACAUGAACCAACUCAAAUGUAACUAUUUUUGGCCUUUUGUUAUAAAUAACACAAGAACCCUCAGUCUUUGUUACAUAAUGUCCUAACAGAGUAGGGGAAAUGCUCCCCAAUCCGGUGCAAUGUCCUGUGCCCAGGGAAACCAAUU
rnacentral:lncRNA from 1 species